GACAGAGGGUGCAAGCGUUGUUCGGAAUUACUGGGCGUAAAGGGCGCGUAGGCGGUCCGCUAAGUUCGGCGUGAAAUCCCCGGGCUCAACCCGGGAACUGCGUCCGAUACUGGGGGGCUUGAAUCCGGGAGAGGGAUGUGGAAUUCCAGGUGUAGCGGUGAAAUGCGUAGAUAUCUGGAGGAACACCGGUGGCGAAGGCGGCAUCCUGGACCGGUAUUGACGCUGAGGCGCGAAAGCCAGGGGAGCAAACGGG
rnacentral:rRNA from 1 species